CGGAAGUAGCUCAGUGGUAGAGCACCACCUUGCCAAGGUGGGGGUCGCGAGUUCGAAUCUCGUUUUCCG
rnacentral:tRNA from 1 species